rfam:Lucilia cuprina strain LS Scaffold598, whole genome shotgun sequence.
GCAAGGAUUAAUUACGUAUUUGUUACACAAUAGCUAUUACGGCCAGACACCUUGCAAGACUAAAAUUUUAUUUCGAAAUUUUUUAAAUUCGUGUCAUUUAUUCGAAUUUAAUAAAAUU